GUGCACGAUAAGCCCACUCAGCUGCUCUGCUCAAGACUCAAAAUGAAUAGCCUCUUUCUUUAUUUUUGUUGGUAAGUACUGGCAAUACAAAAUCGAUAGGGUUUAAGGGUUUUAGGGAGAAAGGGAAACAAAUGGAGAAGAAUAUGGCAAGUGAAGCGAAGAAGAUGAAUGGAGCAGGAGGAGGAGGGUUUAGGGCCAAAUUGGAGCAUGUAUUAUAUAGCGGUGAGAAGAAGCACGUAUUCGGUGGCAUCGCCGUCAUUGGCGUCCUCUUCGGUGUUCCCUGGUACUUCAUGACCCGAGGCUCGAAGCAACAAUCUCACCAAGAUUACCUGGAGAAAGCUGAUAAGGCGCGGAAUGCGAGGCUCUCGGCUGGUUCAUCCUCAACUAAAUAAUGAGAAGAGUUACUUCAAACAAGUUUCCAGUUCCAGUUCCUUCAGCGUUUUGUGUUAGGUGCAUGCUGUUCCUGAAGCACUUGCAUAAAUGCCUCUUUUUGGACAAAACUUCUGUAAUAUGAACAUUAUAUAUUGCAUACAAAACCAAACACGAAAAAGGAAACAUAGUUUUGUGUUUUAU
rnacentral:misc_RNA from 1 species